rnacentral:tRNA from 1 species
GGGCCUAUGGCUUAAUGGAUAAAGCGCCGGUCUACGGAACCGAAGAUUCCAGGUUCGAUCCCUGGUAGGCUCG